rnacentral:rRNA from 1 species
GCUCAGGACGAACGCUGGCGGCGUGCUAAUACAUGCAAGUCGAACGCGUCUCCGUUAAUGAUUUUAGGUGCUUGCACUUGAAAGAUUUAACAUUGAGACGAGUGGCGAACUGGUGAGUAACACGUGGGUAACCUGCCCUUGAAGUAGGGGAUAACACUUGGAAACAGGUGCUAAUACCGUAUAACAACCAAAACCACCUGGUUUUGGUUUAAAAGACGGCUUCGGCUGUCACUUUAGGAUGGACCCGCGGCGUAUUAGCUUGUUGGUAAGGUAACGGCCUACCAAGGCGAUGAUACGUAGCCGACCUGAGAGGGUAAUCGGCCACAUUGGGACUGAGACACGGCCCAAACUCCUACGGGAGGCAGCAGUAGGGAAUCUUCCACAAUGGACGAAAGUCUGAUGGAGCAACGCCGCGUGAGUGAUGAAGGGUUUCGGCUCGUAAAACUCUGUUGUUGGAGAAGAACAGGUGUCAGAGUAACUGUUGACAUCUUGACGGUAUCCAACCAGAAAGCCACGGCUAACUACGUGCCAGCAGCCGCGGUAAUACGUAGGUGGCAAGCGUUGUCCGGAUUUAUUGGGCGUAAAGCGAGCGCAGGCGGUUUUUUAGGUCUGAUGUGAAAGCCUUCGGCUUAACCGGAGAAGUGCAUCGGAAACCGGGAGACUUGAGUGCAGAAGAGGACAGUGGAACUCCAUGUGUAGCGGUGAAAUGCGUAGAUAUAUGGAAGAACACCAGUGGCGAAGGCGGCUGUCUGGUCUGUAACUGACGCUGAGGCUCGAAAG